AGAAUUUGAUCUUGGUCAGAAUGAACGCUGGCGGCAUGGAUUAGGCAUGCAAGUCGAACGUGCUCCCUUCGGGGAGAAAGUGGCGAAAGGGUGAGUAACACGUGAGCAACCUGCCUCCGGAUCCGGAAUAAUCCAGGGAAACUUGGUCUAAAACCGGAUGAAGACAUUGGUCCGCAUGGUCUAAUGUUAAAAUAUUUAUAGUCCGGAGAGGGGCUCGCGGCCCAUUAGCUUGUUGGCGGGGUAAUGGCCCACCAAGGCUACGACGGGUAGGUGGUCUGAGAGGAUGGUCACCCACACUGGGACUGAGACACUGCCCAGACUCCUACGGGAGGCUGCAGUCGAGAAUCUUCCGCAAUGGGCGCAAGCCUGACGGAGCGAUGCCGCGUGAGGGAUGAAGGCCUUCGGGUUGUAAACCUCUGUCAUCCGGGACGAAAACAAUGACGGUACCGGAAAAGGAAGCCACGGCUAACCACGUGCCAGCAGCCGC
rnacentral:rRNA from 1 species